AAAUGUUUAUACGCAUACUUCUGUUUUGUAAACAGAUACAUAUAAUCAAAUAUAUUCAUUCAACUAAACCCAUUUUUAUUUAUUGUUUUCAUUGUCCAGUCAACAGAUGGGUUCAGAUUAUGAAAGAAACAAUAAAUAAUUAGAUAAAGUACAGUUAAAUUGAAAAAGCAUGUGGGUUAAUUAUCCGAUCUUGAGCAAAUACGAAAUAUAACCCUAAUCGUGAUGAAGAAUGAAACUGUUCGUAUUAAUAAGCUGAAAGGAUUGGAAAAUUGGACUCAUGGAAAUUUCAAGUGCGCGUUACUUUGAAAUUCUGUGGUGCAUGGGAAAUAGAUAGAGAUGAAUCAAUUCUUCUUGUACCAGGAGAUGAUGCGACAAAUUGAGCACACGUUGCCUAAAUAAAAUUCGAUAGUACAACUCAACGCAUAAUCAGUGGAUGAAAAACCAUUUUUGCAUAUUAUCAUUAACUAUGAAUCGGUUAAGAAUAUGUGGAAAAAGCUGGAAUCUGUUUAUAAACAAAAAUUUGAUUCUAGUGCAUAUUGUUGCAGCAAUGGUACAGUUACUAGAAGGAACUAGGUGAUGAUAUCUAGGUUAUGAUGUUAUUCACAUCAUAAAGUUCUAGAAUCUUGCACAUCGGCUGCAAACUCUGGGUGAGAAAAUUCCAAAUCAAAUGAUUAUCAUUAAAAUACUCAUAAUAUUAUCUCUAUUAUUCAAAUAUUUUAUUAAUGUGUGAGAAUCAACUCAACUUAAAGAAAGAACUCUCACAAAUCUUAUUUCAAGACUCACCAUUGAGGAAACAAGGAUAGAAACCGAAUUUCAAAAAAGGCAACAUGUGUUUCAUUAUUGCUACAAACCAGAACAUUGGAUCAAAGAAUGCAGAAACUGAAAAACAGCAACAUCAAACGAAAUAUAUAGAAAAGAAAGGGAAGGCACUUAUUGGAGCUAUGUCUGCAAAAUAUAAUUUAGAAACAUUCAGUGAUGCAUGGCAUAUGGAUUCUGACAUGCAACUGAAUAUAUGUCAAAUCAUCACGAGUGGUUCUCGUCAUAUAAAAAAUUCGACAGUAAAGAAUAUUAAGAUAGACGAUGGAAAAUAUAUUCAAGCAAUUGGAUCAGAUAUUGACAUUCUUACUUUCAAUAGAAAAGACUAAGUGCAAAAGUAUCUCAGUAAUAUUUUUCACAUACCAAAACUGAGUUUCAAUCUUUUUUCAGUGGGUGCAGCUCUUGAUUACAACAAUACUCUGAUGAUAAAAAAUGUACAUUCAUGAAGAAUGAAAAUAUUAUUGCAAUGGGAGAAUGGAAAACAUAAACAAAUGGUUCAUCAGAAUGUGGAUCAGUUGAAAAAAAUUCUAAGAUUCGAAAACAUUCUUUUUAAGGAUCAAAAGUUUUGCUGUGAAGAUUGCAUCCUAGCGAAAAUACACAGACUAUCAUUCAAAAAAUGAUACAAAAUCUGAAUUCAUUGGAAAACUCAUCCAUGCAGAUCUUUCAAUCCAAGAAAAUUUGCUUGGAGAAACUCGAUAUUUCUUAAUGAUGAAAGAUGAUUAUAAUCACUGGAAAAGUUAUAGUUUAAGCUAUAUAAGCUAUAUAUAAUUUAUUUUAUAUUUUAUUAAAAAUAAAUCAGAAACAUCACGAUGUCUAGAGGAUUUCUUUAAGAAGACUGGUAAGCAUUUAGAAAAAGAAAUCAAGAUUUUCAGAUCAAAUAACAGCCUUGAGUUCUUCAAAAGAAAUUGAAGAAUUAACACGUCGAUAUGGUAUUGCGCAUUGAUUGCAAUGGUCUUUAUUUUAAUUAAUAAAGUUUUGUUUGAGCUGAGA